CAUGGGUUUGGGCGGAACCAGUGCUGGGGAUUUUCAAAGUAAACGCAUCAAGUUUUUUGGAGACACAUUGAGCCGCUGCAGCCAUUUAAAGUUUCCAGAGGACCAGAGUGGAGAGCUUGUAAGACACCAGGGAAGACAGCUGUGGAUGGAGUGUUGCUCAUCUGGAAUGCUUUUGCUGGGGUUUCAUAUCUGCUGUCUGAGUCUCUAACUGUACCUACCAAGACUGGCUUUCACAGUGAAACAUAUACUCACCAAGCACUUUAUUAGGAACACCUGUACAAUCUAAUGUAAUCCUAUACAACAGCUCUGUCUUAAAUUCUUCUAUGAAGCCUAUACAUAUUCUGUCCAACCUGAGGGUGUGGACAAAAUAUUAGGAACUCUUUUCUAUAUAAUGCACUCCAGCACACCACCCACUGCAAAUUUAAUUGAAUUUAAGCACUCUCCUUACAUUUUAUGGAUGAUUAGAAGAGAUGGUCAAUCUUUAUACAGUUGAUGUACAAAUGUAUUAAUUAUUCAUCGUCUUGUUUUUGUCAUAUGACCUCUGUCUUCUUCAAGAUAAAUACAAGGUGUACUCUC